rnacentral:lncRNA from 1 species
UGAAGACACAGGGAGAAGACAACUAUCUCCAAGCCAAGGAAAGAGGCCACAGAAGAAACCAAUCCUGCCAACUCCUUGAUCUUGGCACCUAGUCUCCAGAAUUGUGAGAAAAUAAAUGUCUGUUGUUUAAGCCACUCAGUCUGUGGUACUUUGUUAUGGAAGCCCUAGUAAACCAAUAUAUUGUCUGAAACUGCUGUUUAUCAGAUUCCUAAGUGAUAACAAUCUGAUUUUAAAAAUUAUAUAGUACAUUAAGCUAUCUCUCACACUUUAAACAUCAAUGGCAAAACUAAAGGAAGUCAACUGCCAUUUUAUGAGCUGUGAGCUGCCCUAUGGAGAGGUCCACAUGGUAAGGAACUGAUGUCUCUGGCCAACAGCCAGAGAGGACUGAAUCCUUCUAGCUACCACAGAAGUGAGUUUGGAAGCAGAUCCUUCCCCAAGCUGAGCCUUCAGAUGAGACCACAGACCAUGCACUGCACCUUGAUUGCAGCCUUCUGAGAGACCCUAAGCCAGAGACAUCCAACUACACCAUGCUCAAGUUGCUGACCCACAGAUACCAUGAGAUAAUAAAUGUUGUCUUAAGCUACUGAUUUUGGGGUAAUUUGCUUUGAAGUAAUAGAUAGCUAAUGCAAUCUUCAAUAAUAU